CAAUGGGCGAAAGCCUGAUGCAGCAACGCCGCGUGAGCGAUGAAGGCCUUCGGGUCGUAGAGCUCUGUCCUAAGGGAAGAAUAAUGACGGUACCUUAGGAGGAAGCCCCGGCUAACUACGUGCCAGCAGCCGCGGUAAUACGUAGGGGGCAAGCGUUAUCCGGAAUCACUGGGCGUAAAGGGUGCGUAGGCGGCCAAAUAAGCCAGAGGUGAAAGGCUACGGCUCAACCGUAGUAAGCCUUUGGAACUGUAUGGCUUGAGUGCAGGAGAGGAGAGUGGAAUUCCUAGUGUAGCGGUGAAAUGCGUAGAUAUUAGGAGGAACACCAGUGGCGAAGGCGACUCUCUGGACUGCAACUGACGCUGAGGCACGAAAGCGUGGGGAGCGAACAGGAUUAGAUACCCUGGUAGUCCACGCCGUAAACGAUGAGUGCUAGGUGUCGGGGGUUCACACCCUCGGUGCCGGAGUUAACGCAUUAAGCACUCCGCCUG
rnacentral:rRNA from 1 species